rnacentral:piRNA from 1 species
UCGGCUCUUUAGUGCGCCACAUGGAGACC